ACUGGGGAUCAAACUCGGGUCCUUGCACUUGCGGGGCAGGUGGUGGAACCACUGAGCUAAAUCCCUGGCUCCUGGUGAGCCUUGUUCUAAGUCCUAGGGUCUAUGUGCUCAUUGGGCCUGGCAUAAAUGACACAAGACAUCUCCUCCCCCACUAAUAGGACCCACCAUUAUCGGGUCUUAUGGAUUGAAAGCCGCAAGUAAUAUUGCAACACAGGCUGCACCUGCUGGGGAGCCCAGUCCUGCUCCAGGAAGCCUUCCGGUGACUCAGUACAUGGGUUGCAGUUCUGCCUGAACUACCCAGAGAUGUCUACCAGAUGCCUUUGGAGGAGAGGUGAACCCCUAUGUGAACAGAUGAACCUGACACUUACUGCCAAAUGACCAAUCAGAGCGUGGACACGAUGCACACUUGAUAAGGAACAGACGUGGCUGAGUCUAAGGUGAAUCUUCAGAAACCAAUAUGAUGAGUGUUGUAAUGGAUGUUCUUAAUGCACUCUCGUGAAAUAAAGAAAUGUUUUCGGAAUUUUGGUGCCUGCAAU
rnacentral:lncRNA from 1 species